GGCGGCGAAGGGAGCGGGGCUAGGGUUAGUCAGCAGGGGCACGAAAACGCUGUACGCGCUGGCCAGAGGCGCUCUGGUUCCGCCUUUCUCUGCAUGCUUCAGGGCUGGCCUUGAAAACAAGUUCUAAGGCUCAAGGGAGCUCUGAGCCUCGAAAGCUCACACCCUGGAAAUCUCGGUGGUCUCUAAAAUGUCGCUGGACCCGAGUCUUGUUCUCCCACCCUACGGCGACCCCAGCUCUCCGUCCCCACGCUGCUCAGGUGAAGGAAGUCUGGCCGCCACCCACACGAAAGGCCAGACCCAGGAGGGCCCUUCUACAGUGAACAUUUUGUUGCCACCCCUGCGCUUUCGUCUGUAGCAGGCUGCUAAGUAAGAAGGGGCGCAGUUAAACAAGACUUCCCGAGCCCAGCCAUGAACUCUGCUUCAGAGUUGCUUUAGGCAAACGGCCCUCUCUGAAUUCCCAUCUACAAAAUGGUGACAAAAUCCCUGAUAAUAAUAGUACUUCAUAUUUGUGCAGCACUGUUCACCGGUUCAAAGAAAUAGACAUAAAUUCUUGCAAUCCUUGAAGCAAGCUGAAAGGCCCCACUCCAAUAAAGCUUCUGAAUUGGGCAUUUCCAUGGAGCAGGGAGACAGGAUCAAGGCUGCUGUCUCCAUAUCUCAGGAAGAAGGAGCCAAGGUGAAGAGGAUUCCACAGUCACUUGAGGUCUCCCAGGAAAUUCAGGAGCACCUUGUGAAACUCCUGAGGUUUAUCAAGAAGCUGAGAAGGAGAGGCUUCCCAAAGAUCACCUCAUAAAGCUCAUGCCCCAGAAAGGAUUAGAGCCAAGAACGUCCUUACCUGGAAUUUAGCCACUACGCUACACUACUACUCUCU